GUGACCUCAGAUCAGUAGGAUGCG
rnacentral:rRNA from 1 species